CCCUACGGGGUGCAGCAGGCGAUGGAUGCGUGGCAGAAGACCUUCGAAUUCUUUGGGGAACAUCUGCGGGCGUGACCUGUAAAAAGGACAUGUUGUACCGUUCAAUGAAGAACAUAAUCCGUUUCGUAAAACCGAUUCCAUUGGAUAUUCGUAUCCCUUAGGAGGGCGAAUCAUAUGCAGGGGGAAGCCCUCAAGACGAAAACCGUGGCUUCUGAACCAUUCGUUGUGAUGGCCAAGCCUGUCGGUCCACACUGCAACAUGCAAUGCAGCUAUUGUUAUUAUCUUAAGACAGAGGGUUUCUACGACAAUCCGCAUUCGUUCCGAAUGUCGGACAGCAUGCUUGAGACGUAGGUCCGUCAGUAUAUCGAGGCAAGCCCGGAGC
rnacentral:rRNA from 1 species